rnacentral:lncRNA from 1 species
CGGUAGUGCCACCUCGUGGACGAAAUCGGCCAUCAUGGAGCAUAACUAGAACAAGUUGAUAGGUACUCGAGCCGUCAACAUCACCUGGCCGUCUUGUUGAAGGCUAUUUCUGGUUUCCCAGUGGCUCGCAGUUUGGUGGAUGGAUGUGCCCCACCCUCGUUGCAACCUCUACCAUCCGGAAUCACCAUCAGUCACGUACUAAAAACAUCUCGUCACUUCCAUCAAACAUUUCACCCCCGCAUCGUUUACAAAAAAACGAAAAUCCCCAGUUCCAAAGUGAAAAAAGCCCUUCCCCUAUUAGAAUAAAAUCCAUUAUUGGCGUUCGAUUUGCCCGUCCCGUAGCAAAUACUGUAAUUAAAUAUCGGGAAAAGUAAUUAGACCAUUCUUAUUUUAAAUCAAAUCAAUCGACACGUGUUAUGACUUAAAUAUUUUCGGGAAGUUGGCCCAGUGAGAAUGAUAGAUCUAGGAGGGAGAAUAUGGUGAUAAAAAAAAAACUUGCAACACCAGUUUGGUAGCUAGUUUUCUACUCAACGAUGCAACAAUAGAUACCAGUUAAUCCCAAAUUCCUAAUUCGGUACGAUAAUCUUAAUUUCUUGCUAAGUCCCUUAACGAAUUUUUUUUAUUCUUAAUUUUCUUUUUAAAAUGCGCUUCCAUUUUAUUAAGUUUACUCCGCUGUUGCCAAUCCCCGCGAAAAGCCUACGUGCAAAAUUAACCAAAUACAGGCAACUCGUCAGUAGCUGAUAUAGAAGGUCAUUAAUGGAGUGGACACUGCGCAUGCUCUUGGAGGUGUAUUCUGGUUUACAACACCUCUACAUAAACAUGCUCGAAAAACACAAAACGAUCAACACGAAAUCUGCGUAACGAAAACUUUUUUACGUAACAUACUCGAAGAUGAUUACGAAAUCAAAACACACGAUUUACGUAAAAAGUGUUAAUGCGUGUAUUAAGUAAGCGACAUAAAUAUACUGUGAUUAUUAAUUUGGUUUCUGAUUUUAUGUCGCUCGUUAGGGUAAUUAUGCCACGGUAUGCAGAGCUUUGAAUGAUAGGAAAGGAAGUUGUUUACCGUCUUUAACACUAGUGUGAUUUCGAACAACGGAUCAUCUUACCAAGUUAAGGAUAGAAACGUCUGUCAUUUGUAGUUUCUCAAUGUCACAGAAAAUGGUUGGUCGGAUUGAAAUCGGUAUUUCGAAUCAACGAAUGAUAAUCCAUGUUAUGGGGCUUAUCGAGGUCUUCUCUUACACCUCUGAAAAUGUUUUCUAAUUAUGAUUUCCGUUGGCGUACUGGAAGGCGUGAAAAUGGAGUUGUGUUAUUCUGUAACUCGCAUUCUUUCCACCUGUGUAAAUAUGUUAAAAGUAAUAUUCGGAAGGAAAGCAGACUUGCAAAAUAUUAGCCACUCCGUGCCUUGAGUUCAGUGGACGUUGUUCACUAAAAAGGAGAGGGAGUGUAUUUUAAAUAACCACCUGACCUCGAAUCUGUUGAGUGAGAGUUACUGAGUAACUUUUGUUUGGAAAUGAGAUGCGUAACGAGUUAUGUGGGUUGAUAGUUUUUGUGUGGGCAGUUUUGUUGAUAAUCGAAUACUACUUUAUUUAAAAUGUUUAUUCUCUUUCUGAUUUAUAAA